rnacentral:misc_RNA from 1 species
GGUUAUGUUGGAUCCNUGNUCGGGCAGCGACGGCAACUCCUCCACGCCUCUUCAAUUAUUGGNGCGAGCACAUGCUCGUCCGAUGUUGGUUUUCCUGUGCUGNAUACCUAUCGCGAGGGCAUUCCGUCGGCUACAAUCGUCCCCCUCCCGCCUCGUUCCGCUGCUCCCCGUGGGCAAGCGGUGCGGUGUGGGCCUAAUAGCGCACGUCGUGUGUCGCAUCCCGUCCGCUAGCGCGCUCGGUCUGACGACCCACGUCGUGGUGCUCGAUCUCUCGGGUAUGGAACAUCAUGUGGCUGAGGGGUCAUCGGCCCCCUAGCACCACAAACAAGCGUUCUACGCUUCGUGCGAACGACCGUCGGCUCGGUCUCCGGCCGUGCCCUCGUGGCUCGGUUCGGUGUCGGUCCGACGUCGGUGAGGAAUGCUACCUGGUUGAUCCCUGCA